ensembl:lncRNA
UUAUGUAUUGUUAGUCGCUGUCAUGUCCAACUUUGCAACCCCAUGGACUGAAGCCCGCCAGACUCCUCUGUCCGAGGGGAUUCUCCAGACGAGAGUGCUGGAGUGGGUACUCGUUUUCUUUUCCAGAGGAUCUUCCCAACCCAGGGAUCAAACCCAUGUCUCCCACAUUGCAGGCAGACUCUCGACCGUCUGAGCCACCAGGGGAGAUUUUCACGUAUUGAGCACUUGCAGUUUGCCAAGCAGUAGUCUAAACACUUGUAUCUGUCAGAGCUAUGAGUCUGCACACCUACCAUGGUGUUGUCCUAAAUUGUUCCAUGAAACUCAAAUGUUCUGAAGGAUGUUAAUAACGUAAAUCAAUGUAAGUAAUCUUUUUCUUCUAAAGCAUAUUUUAAUAUGGGUAAGGAAAUGCGAAACAUAGAUACGUAGCUGUUAGUUUAUAGUACUCUGCCUUUCAAAAAGGACAUGUCAUGUUUGCUAAUAACAAAACACUGGAAACACGUCCAGUGAGAAUGUCCUGGAUGAAAGAGUUAUGGUACAUCCGUGCAGUGGAGAAACACAAAGCUGUUAAAAAGAAUGGGGAAGGUCUCUUUGAGCCGAUAUGGAGGGAUCCCUAGUAUGUAGUGGAAUAAUUGCAAGAUAUCAAUACAAAAGAAGGCAUACAGUAUGUGCUACCCUUGGGGUAAGAAAGAGGGGAGAUGUUUGCAAAAAACCACACUGACAGGAUAAACCAGAAAUUGUUAAAAAUGGGGAGGGGAAGGAAGAAAAGAGGGAAUGCAUUUGAGGCAACAGGGAUAAAACUGGAUACUGAGUUUGGAAAUAUAUAAAUACUUUAUAAUUUUUAUAAACAUGAAACAAAAACCCCUAAAAUUUAAGACAAACAUAAACGACUGAACCAGAGAGACAAGAAUUAACUCCUAUUAGAAAACAAUACUGUAUAUUCCCUGUGGACUAUAUUCCAAGGACAAAAAGAACUACUAAAAACAUUGAAGGUCAUUCAGUAGUUUUAUCAUUAGUAAUAAUAUUGUAUUAUUAUUUUGAAACUAUGUUUAUAUAUAUUAUA